UUGGGAGCUCUCCCAUAUGGUCGACCUGCAGGCGGCCGCGAAUUCACUAGUGAUUAGAGUUUGAUCAUGGCUCAGAUUGAACGCUGGCGGCAUGCCUUACACAUGCAAGUCGAACGGCAGCACGGGGGCAACCCUGGUGGCGAGUGGCGAACGGGUGAGUAAUACAUCGGAACGUGUCCUGUCGUGGGGGAUAACCAGUCGAAAGACUGGCUAAUACCGCAUGAGAUCGAGAGAUGAAAGCAGGGGACCGCAAGGCCUUGCGCGAUUGGAGCGGCCGAUGUCGGAUUAGCUUGUUGGCGGGGUAAAAGCCCACCAAGGCGACGAUCCGUAGCUGGUUUGAGAGAACGACCAGCCACACUGGGACUGAGACACGGCCCAGACUCCUACGGGAGGCAGCAGUGGGGAAUUUUGGACAAUGGGGGCAACCCUGAUCCAGCCAUGCCGCGUGUGUGAAGAAGGCCUUCGGGUUGUAAAGCACUUUCGGACGGAACGAAAUCGCACGGGUGAAUAUCCCGUGUGGAUGACGGUACUGUAAGAAGAAGCACCGGCUAACUACGUGCCAGCAGCCGCGGUAAUACGAAUCGAAUUCCCGCGGCCGCCAUGGCGGCCG
rnacentral:rRNA from 1 species